CAGAUCGUUGGGUAUUCCCAUUUGUCCUCGUCGGACACAGAUGAAACUCUAUUUCAAAUUCUCUUUGGUACUUUAAAAGCAGAGUUAGGAAAAAGAGGUGCAAAAUUAAGCGGGUCGAAAUUACGAAGACUUUAGUUUUUUACUGUGUGGUGUUAGAAAUGGUAUGUAUCAAAUACUACGAUUUGCAAUCAAAACUUUGUCGCGCCCAUAAUAUCAAUAACAAUGAGUUUGACAGCCUUACUCACCAGUGGCGGCAACUCGAGAGCACCAAAAAUUGAGGUAAGCAAUUGAGGUUAUAACAAAACUUGAGGUAAACAAUUGAGGUUAUAGCUAAACUUGAGGUAAGCAAUUGAGGUUAUAACUAAACUUGAGGUAAAAAAUUGAGGUUAUAACUAAAACUUGAGGUAAGCAAUUGAGGUUAUAACUAAAACUUGAGGUAAGCAAUUGAGGUUAUAACUAAAACUUGAGGUUA